UGGGUGUGCCGCGGUGAUUUUCAUAAAAAGGGGCGUGUCUCUGAUAAUUGUCUGGGGUGAAGUGAUUUGCAUAAAAGUGGGUGUGCCACGGUGAUUUUCAUAAAAAGGGGCGUGUCUCUGAUAAUUAUCCAGGGUGAAGUGAUUUGCAUUAAAAGGGGCGUGUCUCUGAUAAUUCUCUGGGAUGAGGUGAUUUGCAUAAAAAGAGGCGUGU